GACGAACGCUGGCGGCGUGCUUAACACAUGCAAGUCGAACGGAAAGGCCCUGCUUUUUUGGUCUUCUCGAGUGGCGAACGCGUGAGUAACACGUGUGUAACCUGCCCUUCACUUUGGGAUAACUUCAGGAAACUGGGCCUAAUACCGGAUAGGAUCUCCCGCUCCAUGGUGGGCGUUGGAUCGUUUCGCCGUUUGGGGAUGGACUCGCGGCUGAUGAGCUUGUUGGUUGGGUAGUGGCUUACCAAGGCAUGGACGGGUAGCCGGCCUGGGAGGGAGACAGGCCACAUUGGGACUGGGGAACGGCCCAGGGGGAUAAGGGAGGAAAGAGCGGGAGAUAGAGCACGAUGGGCGGAGGGGUGAUGGAGGAACGCCGGGUGGGGGAGGACGGCUGUCGGGUAGGAAACGGAUUUGGCCUGUGACGAAGCGUGAGGGACGGAAAUGGGGAAAGAAGCAGCGGCUAACUAGGU
rnacentral:rRNA from 1 species